rnacentral:rRNA from 1 species
UACAGAGGUCUCAAGCGUUGUUCGGAUUCAUUGGGCGUAAAGGGCUCGUAGGCGGUUUGUCGCGUCGGGAGUGAAAACUCAGGGCUUAACCCUGAGCCUGCUUCCGAUACGGGCAGACUAGAGGUAUGCAGGGGAGAACGGAAUUCCUGGUGUAGCGGUGAAAUGCGCAGAUAUCAGGAGGAACACCGGUGGCGAAGGCGGUUCUCUGGGAAUGACCUGACGCUGAGGAGCGAAAGUGUGGGGAGCGAACAGG